rnacentral:rRNA from 1 species
AACGAACGCUGGCGGCAUGCCUAACACAUGCAAGUCGAACGAGAUCUUCGGGUCUAGUGGCGCACGGGUGCGUAACGCGUGGGAAUCUGCCCUUUGGUUCGGAAUAACAGUUGGACACGACUGCUCAUACCGGAUUAUUACGAAAGUCCAAAGAUUUAUCGCCAGAGGAUGAGCCCGCGUAGGAUUAGCUAGUUGGUGGUGUAAAGGCGAACCAAGGCGACGAUCCUUAGCUGGUCUGAGAGGAUGAUCGGCCACACUGGGAUUGAGAAACGGCCCAGACUCCUACGGGAGGAAGCAGUGGGGAAGAUUGGACAAUGGGCGAAAGCCUGAUCCAGCAAUGCCGCGUGAGUGAUGAAGGCCUUAGGGUUGUAAAGCUCUUUUACCCGGGAUGAUAAUGACAGUACCGGGAGAAUAAGCUCCGGCUAACUCCGUGCCAGCAGCCGCCGUAA